rnacentral:rRNA from 1 species
UACGGAGGGGACUAGCGUUGUUCGGAAUUACUGGGCAUAAAAGGUGCGUAGGUGGUUUGUUAAGUCAGGGGUGAAAUCCCGCGGCCCAACCGUGGAACUGCCUUUGAUACUGGCGAACUUGAGUGCGUGAGGGGUAGGGGGAACGAGCAGUGUAGCGGUGAAAUGCGUAGAUAUUGCUCGGAAGGCCAGAGCCGAAGGGGCCCUACUGGUGCGCAACUGACACUGAGGCACGAAAGCGUGGGGAGCAAACAGG